rnacentral:rRNA from 1 species
GCCCGCGUUUCAUUAGCUAGUUGGUAAGGUAACGGCUUACCAAGGCGACGAUCAGUAGCCGACCUGAGAGGGUGAUCGGCCACACUGGAACUGAGACACGGUCCAGACUCCUACGGGAGGCAGCAGUGGGGAAUAUUGCACAAUGGGCGAAAGCCUGAUGCAGCAACGCCGCGUGAGCGAUGAAGGCCUUCGGGUUGUAAAGCUCUUUUCUUGGGGAAGAAUAAAUGACGGUACCCAAGGAAUCAGCCCCGGCUAACUACGUGCCAGCAGCCGCGGUAAUACGUAGGGGGCAAGCGUUAUCCGGAAUCACUGGGCGUAAAGGGUGCGUAGGUGGCUAAGCAAGUCAGAGGUGAAAGGCAACGGCUCAACCGUUGUAAGCCUUUGAAACUGUUUAGCUUGAGUGCAGGAGAGGAAAGUGGAAUUCCUAGUGUAGCGGUGAAAUGCGUAGAUAUUAGGAGGAACACCAGUGGCGAAGGCGACUUUCUGGACUGUAACUGACACUGAGGCACGAAAGCGUGGGGAGCGAACAGGAUUAGAUACCCUGGUAGUCCACGCCGUAAACGAUGAACACUAGAUGCC